GACGAACGCUGGCGGCGUGCUUAACACAUGCAAGUCGAACGGAAAGGCUCCAGCUUGCUGGAGUACUCGAGUGGCGAACGGGUGAGUAACACGUGGGUAAUCUGCCCUGCACUCUGGGAUAAGCCUGGGAAACUGGGUCUAAUACUGGAUAUGACCUUUCUCCUUAUGGGGUUUGGUGGAAAGUUUUUCGGUGUAGGAUGAGCCCGCGGCCUAUCAGCUUGUUGGUGGGGUGAUGGCCUACCAAGGCGACGACGGGUAGCCGGCCUGAGAGGGUGAUCGGCCACAUUGGGACUGAGAUACGGCCCAGACUCCUACGGGAGGCAGCAGUGGGGAAUACUGCACAAUGGGCGGAAGCCUGAUGCAGCGACGCCGCGUGAGGGAUGACGGCCUUCGGGUUGUAAACCUCUUUCAGCAGGGACGAAGCGUAAGUGACGGUACCUGCAGAAGAAGCACCGGCUAACUACGUG
rnacentral:rRNA from 1 species